rnacentral:rRNA from 2 species
GGAGGAAAAGAACUAACAAGGAUUCCCCUAGUAACUGCGAGUGAAGCGGGAAAAGCUCAAAUUUGAAAUCUGGCAGUCUCUGACUGUCCGAGUUGUAAUCUAGAGAAGUAAUGCCCGCGCUGGACCGUGUAUAAGUCUCCUGGAAUGGAGCGUCAUAGAGGGUGAGAAUCCCGUCUCUGACACGGACUACCAGGGCUUUGUGGUAUGCUCUCAAAGAGUCGAGUUGUUUGGGAAUGCAGCUCAAAAUGGGUGGUAAAUUCCAUCUAAAGCUAAAUAUUGGCGAGAGACCGAUAGCGAACAAGUACCGUGAGGGAAAGAUGAAAAGAACUUUGGAAAGAGAGUUAAACAGUACGUGAAAUUGCUGAAAGGGAAACGCUUGAAGUCAGUCGCGUUGGCCAGGAAUCAGCCUUGCUCUUGCAGGGUGUACUUUCUGGUUGAUGGGUCAGCAUCAAUUUUGACUGCUGGAAAAAGGCUUGAGGAAUGUAGCAGCUUUGGCUGUGUUAUAGCUUCUUGUCACAUACAGCAGUUGGGAUUGAGGAACUCAGCAUGCCGCAAGGCCGGGUCAUUUCGACCACGUUCAUGCUUAGGAUGCUGGCAUAAUGGCUUUA